rnacentral:rRNA from 1 species
CCUACCGGGGGGGCAGCAGUAGGGAAUCUUCCACAAUGGACGGAAGUCUGAUGGAGCAACGCCGCGUGAGUGAAGAAGGGUUUCGGCUCGUAAAGCUCUGUUGUUAAAGAAGAACGUAUGGUGAGAGUAACUGUUUACCUAUUGACGGUAUUUAACCAGAAAGCCACGGCUAACUACGUGCCAGCAGCCGCGGUAAUACGUAGGUGGCAAGCGUUGUCCGGAUUUAUUGGGCGUAAAGCGAGCGCAGGCGGUUUUUUAAGUCUGAUGUGAAAGCCUUCGGCUCAACCGAAGAAGUGCAUUGGAAACUGGGAGACUUGAGUGCAGAAGAGGACAGUGGAACUCCAUGUGUAGCGGUGAAAUGCGUAGAUAUAUGGAAGAACACCAGUGGCGAAGGCGGCUGUCUGGUCUGGAACUGACGCUGAGGCUCGAAAGUAUGGGUAGCGAACAGGAUUAGAUACCCUGGUAGUCCAUGCCGUAAACGAUGAUUGCUAAGUGUUGGAGGGUUUCCGCCCUUCAGUGCUGCAGCUAACGCAUUAAGUAUUCCGCCUGGGGAGUACGGCCGCAAGGUUGAAACUCAAAGAAUUUUGACGG